CCCUUAGAUGUCCGGGGCCGCACGCGCGCUACACUGAAGGAAUCAGCGUGGCUUUCUCCCUGACCCGAAAGGGUCGGGAAACCCGUUGAAUCUCCUUCGUGAUAGGGAUUGGGGCUUGAAAUUGUUCCCCAUGAACGAGGAAUUCCCAGUAAGCGCGAGUCAUAAGCUCGCGUUGAUUACGUCCCUGCCCUUUGUACACACCGCCCGUCGCUACUACCGAUUGAACGGUUUAGUGAGGGCCUCGGAUUGGUCUCGGCCCGCUCUUCACCGGGCGGCGCCGUUGGUCGAGAAGACGCUCGAACUUGAUCGUUUAGAGGAAGUAAAAGUCGUAACA
rnacentral:rRNA from 1 species